UGAGGAAUAUUGGUCAAUGGGCGAGAGCCUGAACCAGCCAAGUCGCGUGAAGGAAGACAGUCCUAAGGAUUGUAAACUUCUUUUAUACGGGAAUAACGGGCGAUACGAGUAUUGCAUUGAAUGUACCGUAAGAAUAAGCAUCGGCUAACUCCGUGCCAGCAGCUGCGGUAAUACGGAGGAUGCGAGCGUUAUCCGGAUUUAUUGGGUUUAAAGGGUGCGUAGGUUGUUCGGUAAGUCAGCGGUGAAACCUGAGCGCUCAACGUUCAGCCUGCCGUUGAAACUGCCAGGCUUGAGUUCAGUGGCAGCAGGCGGUAUUCGUGGUGUAGCGGUGAAAUGCAUAGAUAUCACGAGGAACUCCGAUUGCGAAGGCAGCUUGCCAUACUGCGACUGACACUGAAGCACGAAGGCGUGGGUAUCAAACAGG
rnacentral:rRNA from 1 species